CGGACAUCAGGAGGUUAGUGCAAUGGCAUAAGCCAGCUUGACUGCGAGCGUGACGGCGCGAGCAGGUGCGAAAGCAGGUCAUAGUGAUCCGGUGGUUCUGAAUGGAAGGGCCAUCGCUCAACGGAUAAAAGGUACUCCGGGGAUAACAGGCUGAUACCGCCCAAGAGUUCAUAUCGACGGCGGUGUUUGGCACCUCGAUGUCGGCUCAUCACAUCCUGGGGCUGAAGUAGGUCCCAAGGGUAUGGCUGUUCGCCAUUUAAAGUGGUACGCGAGCUGGGUUUAGAACGUCGUGAGACAGUUCGGUCCCUA
rnacentral:rRNA from 1 species